rnacentral:rRNA from 1 species
GUGCAGCAGUCGAGAAAACUUUACAAUGCGGGAAACCGCGAUAAGGGGACACCGAGUGCCAGCAUACUAUGUUGGCUGUCCACAUGUGUAAAUAGCUGGGGGAAUAAGGAGAGGGCAAGCCUGGUGUCAGCCGCCGCGGUAAUACCAGCUCUCCGAGUGGUGGGGACGCUUAUUGGGCCUAAAGCAUCCGUAGCCGGCUAGGCAAGUCCUCCGUUAAAUCCAACGAUUCAAUCGUUGGGCUGCGGGGGAUACUGUCCAGCUUGGGGGCGGGAGAGGCCGACGGUAUUCCCGGGGUAGGGGUGAAAUCCUAUAAUCCCGGGAGGACCACCAGUGGCGAAGGCUGUCGGCUAGAACGCGCCCGACGGUGAGGGAUGAAAGCUGGGGGAGCGAACCGGAUUAGAUACCCCGGUAGU